CUUGAUCUGUAAUAUGUCUUCUGAGGUUGCUUCACGUCCAGGAAAGUCACUGUUAUUAAUGAACAAUACUCAUUCAAACUGAAGUUACAAAAGGAAAAAAAAAAACAGUUUAGUGAUUAUUCUUAGCUAGCAUAUCAAACAUCUAUGAGACUCCUUUCAAGUAAUCAUUUUGAUAAGUACGUAGAUUUUAGACUUUUAAGUACUUACGUUAUCUGAUCACAAUCGAAGAAAAAAUGUUGAAAAAUAAAUGAAGAAAAAAGUGGCAUAGAGUGCUUACUUAAUUAGCCUCUAUGAUAAUAUCAUAGUAAUUAUUACAGUACAUCUAUUUUAACUUCUUAUAUCCAGGGAGGACGGCGUAUGACUAAUAUUGAUAAGCUCAUACAUGAAUUUAUGUGGAGACUGAAACUAUUUUAGACUAAAUGUGUUUGCAUUGAUUACAUAAGAUGUAAAAACUAAAAGUCGUUAUUAUUAUCAUUAUGCAUAUAAAUAAACAAUAAUAUGACAAUGUGUGUGUCUAUAUAUGGUAUAAAUACUUGUAGAAGCUCAGUUGCGUGAUCUCAAGUUCUCAACAGUGUUACAGCUACGAUUGAUUGUUGAUGCUUAAUCUAUAAUUAGAUAAAAUUAUGUUAACAGUGUUUUACAUAAUCAAAAUUAAAGCUAGCAAAAGGAGAUCACUAGCAUGUAAAUGUUGGAAGAGGGAUGGUAAGCAUGCCAACCAACAAUUCUCUUCAUGCAAACUAGUUUACUUAAUUAUAUAUGACAAUAAUAUAAUUUCACACCAUGUUUAUGAAUUUGAAUCGUUGUCUUGUUUGACCUAAAAUAUCCUUCCUCACUGAAAGUGCAAGUUCUUAAAAAUCAUUAUCCCAAAACCAGGGCCGGUCUCGAGCAUAGGCGAGGUAACCGACCGCGUAGGGCAUCAUAUUUUAAGCGAAAAAAUUUAGUUGUAUAUAAGGCAUAAAUUUUUUUUUACAUGAAUAACAAAGGCAUAAAAUUUUAAAUGAGCUUAGGGCAUCAAGAAAAAAUUGAGAAUGUUGGACCGGCACUGCCCAAAACUGAGCCAAGCGCGACAACGGGAAAUGUUUUUUUCCCAAUAUAAUUAUAUCGUGCUAAACUAACAAAAGGACUAAAUAGUUUAAGAUAAGAAAUUAUUUUAUCAAUAUUUAAUAGCAUCUCCAUCAGUGGAGAUUGUAAUUUGGGGUACUUAACAUAAAAUAAUAAUAUUUUAAUAUGAUAUUUAUAUACUUUAAUUUAAUUAUUUUAAAUAAAUAUUAACAAACUAAAAAGAAACAUGUGGCAGUACAGUUUAGGAACCAAUUCUAAAAAGAGGGUUUAAUGGCGUACCUCCGAGCUCGAUAACCUAGGUAGAUUUUUAAAAUUAUUUUAACUUUUUUUUAGUUAAAAAAAAAGUCAAUCGCGGGGUUUUAUUUGGCGGUAGAAUCCGUGCACAGUAACAAACCUGAUCUUUAUCUAAGGAUUAUUUUGACAAAAGUCUUUAAGUUUAGUAGGUCCCACACGAUAUUAUAUUGAUUAAUCCCUAAAGAUUUUUGGGUAAGGAUCCCCAUUGGACAUGCCCUAAAGAACCUCAACUAUUUCUCAUUCUUACUUUUGUGUAUUUAUAUUAGAGUCUUUAUAUUAUUACUUUUUGGUUAGGAGUUAUUUAAACAUCCUACAUCCUACCGAUGGAGAAGGUCUAAGACCACCUCCAACGGUGGCUCUGACCACAGGUUCUAAAAAAAACAAAAAAAAUAAAUCAAAAAUGAGAUAAAUGAGCAAAACCGGUUCUAAAUAUAACACUUUUAGAAUCAGUAAAAACCCCAUAUGUGCCUCUUUGUUAUUGGUUAAAACAAAAAAGCAGAAAAUCUGACCUUCUCUUUCUUCCUCUUCGUUAAUGUCUUUUUUUUGUUUUUCUGAGAAAUUGGUUCGUCGAUGUUCGUAGAUAUUUUGAAAAAUCUUUCCAAAUCAUCACAUGAGAUCAACCGUUUGUUUGUUGGAUGAGAGAUGCUGAGCUUGGAUAAACAAAGGCCUGAAUCGUCAUCAUCGGAGGAGGUGCAAGCUGUGACUCCGUGGGUCGUCUCCGGUAAUGUCGAUCACGAGAAGGUGAUCGAAAAGUUCGGCUGCGAUAGGAUAGACGAGUCGCUGAUUGCAGUUGCAGGGGACAAGAACUGCCAAUGGUACGUCUUAUUCAUUGUUUUCACGUUAUUAAAGUAAAAAGAAAACAAAAUCUUACAAAAACUAUAUAGUUUCAUAUUUUAUCAUUACCCCUCAGAAAAUGAAGAGAAUUACAAGAAAUGCCACGAAGUGAUUUUGAGGAACCCUUGAGUUUCUUUCGGUCGUUUUCUCUCCCCAUGUCUCUUUGAUCCGAAACGUA
rnacentral:lncRNA from 1 species